rnacentral:rRNA from 1 species
GACGAACGCUGGCGGCGCGCCUAACACAUGCAAGUCGAACGAACGAGCGAGAGCUUUCUUUCUCAAACGAUAGGCGAACGGGUGAGUAACGCGUGAGGAACCUGCCUCAAAGAGGGGGACAACAGUUGGAAACGACUGCUAAUACCGCAUAAACCCACAUGUCGGCCUCGACCCGAGGGAAAAGGAGCAAUCCGCUCUGAGAUGGCCUCGCGUCCGAUUCGCUAGUUGGUGAGGUAACGGCACAUCAAUGCCACGAUCGGUAGCCGGACAGAGAGGGUGAGCCGACACACUUGGGGUGAGCAGCGGCAGGGACUCUUCCGCGAUGGACGAGUGCCGAACGGUGCAACACGGCGGGAAUCAUGAUGGAGUGACGACGCGUGGAGGAAGAAGGUCUGCGGAUUGUAAUCUCCUGUUGUCGAGGAAGAUAAUGACGGUACUCAACAAGAAAGUGACGGCUAACUACGUG